CUGAACUCCAAGUCAACCUAGCUGGGUAGUGUUCGUGGCGGUUCCUUCUAUGACUGGACACUUGCAACUGGCGUGUGAACGUUCGAUUUACCGUCUCUUAGCCCUCUCGCUGACAGCUCCUUUUUGCCGCUGGGAUUGUUCUCCUUUUCCCGUACCAUGGUGCGCUCUGUGGCUUGCAGCCGCAGCAACUGCCGCCGUUUGAAGCGCUCAUCCCGGCUGGCACUGUGGUGGUCACUGGGGCCAGCCCCAGGGGAUGACCGAGUCACCAUACCCCGGGGAGAAACCGGGUCGUGGAUGAGCUGCAGCAUGGAAGUAGCUCUUUCACAAUCAAGUGAUGUAUCAUGUUGAUGAAAGAAAAGCAGUUCAUCUAACCAUGGACAAAGAAGCAGGGGAGAGAGUACCAGACUUCACUACCUCUCAGCUGUCAACUCUACAGUAUCUCAAUUCAGCUCUCCAGGAGGAACCCUGCCACUUCAGAGAUCUGCUUAUGAUUAUGGUGAAGAAUCUUACAACUCCUAGGCCUCAUACUGUAGUACCUAUGCUUUUCACAUGCCUGUCCUUUCCUGAGACCACUUCGGCUAUGCUGUGACAAAAUUCAGUCAAUAUAUGCCACUAAAUACACUCUUAAUAAAUCAGAUUUCCCAUAAGGA